rnacentral:rRNA from 1 species
GGGAAACAUUUCAUUGAAGCUUCGGCGGAUUUGGUCUGCUUCUAGUGGCGGACGGGUGAGUAACGCGUGGGUAACCUGCCUUAUACUGGGGGAUAACAGCCAGAAAUGGCUGCUAAUACCGCAUAAGCGCACAGGGCCGCAUGGUCCGGUGUGAAAAACUCCGGUGGUAUAAGAUGGACCCGCGUUGGAUUAGCUGGUUGGCAGGGCAGCGGCCUACCAAGGCGGCGAUCCAUAGCCGGCCUGAGAGGGUGAACGGCCACAUUGGGACUGAGACACGGCCCAGACUCCUACGGGAGGCAGCAGUGGGGGAUAUUGCACAAUGGGGGAAACCCUGAUGCAGCGACGCCGCGUGAAGGAAGAAGUAUCUCGGUAUGUAAACUUCUAUCAGCAGGGAAGAUAAUGACGGUACCUGACUAAGAAGCCCCGGCUAACUACGUGCCAGCAGCCGCGGUAAUACGUAGGGGGCAAGCGUUAUCCGGAUUUACUGGGUGUAAAGGGAGCGUAGACGGCGCAGCAAGUCUGAUGUGAAAGGCAGGGGCUUAACCCCUGGACUGCAUUGGAAACUGUUAAGCUUGAGUGCCGGAGGGGUAAGCGGAAUUCCUAGUGUAGCGGUGAAAUGCGUAGAUAUUAGGAGGAACACC